AUUGAACGCUGGCGGCAGGCCUAACACAUGCAAGUAGAGCGAGCGGCGGACGGGUGAGACAUGUCUGGGACACAGUCUGAUGGCGGGGGAGAACAAAGGGAAACGGUAGCUAAUACAGCAUACCAUCAGAUGUGGCCAGAUGGGAUUUGCUAGUAGGUGGUGUAAAGGCUCACCUCGGCGACGAUCCCUAGCUGGUCUGUGAGGAUGACCAGCCACACUGAAACUGGAACGCGGUCCAGGCGCCUACGGGAGGCAGCAGUGGGGAAGAUUGAACAAUGGGCGCAAGCCUUAUGCAGCCAUGCCGCGUGUAUGAAGAAGUCCUUCGGGUUGUAAAGUACUUUCAGCGGGGUGGCGUUACCCGCAGAAUACGCACCGGCUAACGCCGUGCCAGCAGCCGCGGUAAUAC
rnacentral:rRNA from 1 species